rnacentral:tRNA from 1 species
GUGGGUAUAGCUCAGUGGUAAAGCACAUGCUUAGCAUGCACGAGGUCCUGGGCUCAAUCCCCAGUGCCUCCA